CAAACAACUAGAGGAAAGGAAAGCAGUUACCGUCUCCUCUGUGGCUUAAUAUCAAUUGGCAUGUUGAUCGCGUAUGGUGAUCCAUGAACAUAAGCGCUUCGGAAUCUAGCCACCUUCCCCAGAGUCAGGCCACAUCAGUCUCGGUUCUUUUGGCAGUUCCGAAGACAUCAUGAUUCCCAGAUGCUUCACCAUCCUGGCAACACCCUUCUGGACUGAUUGCUCCUUGUUGAUUUCCUCUUAACCUGUGGUAUCUGAAAUGAAUCCCACACCCCAGGUGUGAUAUGACGAUUGCAGGGCACAGAAUGUCAGUCAGCUUAAUUUCUCUGCUGUACAUCUAUGAAUAAGGCUUAAGACAGAAUUCCUCACAUAUUCUUCAUUUACAUGCCAUCACCCUUGGGCCUCUACCAUCCAAUUCUAAUUAACUGUGCACUUGAAAUUGCAGUCAUUUUUAUUAGCAAGCUUAAAUAACUAUUGACUCUGACUUUGCAUUCCAGUGUAUUUACUAUCUCUUUAUGUUUCUGUAUAUUUGUUUGAUUGGAUGAACGGUCUUCCAUCCAGGCAAAUAUUUAGUCUUUACUCAGUAUUCUUUAUCUAUGUUGUUCAACUAGGAAAAAACACACUUAAUAGUAUUUUUAUCCAAUUCACACAUCCAUUAUAGCUACCACAAGAU
rnacentral:lncRNA from 1 species